CUCACUAACACUACUUGAUCUUAUCCGAGCGAGCUGCCCGGGGGGCGGCCGGAAUCGCCUCUCCCCAGCCGCGCCGCCACCGCCGCCCUCCAAGGAGGGUUCGCGGGAAGGUGGCGCGGUUUUGGGGAAUGAAGAGGCGGCUCUGUCGUCCGCGACCGCCACCGGCGGCAAGCGAUGACGACUGCCCUCGGUCGGAGCGCGCGCGAUGAUGGCCGCGCGGGUUCACCCGAACAAUUCCCAAAAUUUUCCAGUUUGCCUCUUCGUUUCCCAUCGCAAUUUGAUUUCCUUCUCUCUUUUUUUUACAUUGGAUAUCUGCUCGUCCGGUUUCUUCAGUUGAAUCUCUUCUGUUAUAAUUUGGUUUCGGGAUGAGUUUUGCUCUAGGUUUCUAGCUUCAGCUUGCCUGUUGCCCUGGUCGUGCUGAACCUUUACUCCGUUUGUGUCAAAUUAUUUCGCUUCAGUGCUCAUGGCUGUUCCUUUCAACCGACUACAUUAUUAUGAAUUCGAAUUGCUGUGAGUAUAUAUUAUUCUUAUGAUUUAUGAACCUGAUGCUGUUUACUACUGUGCAGUGUAAUCUUGACAAAAACGCACCUCGUUUGAACCAAGCCUAGCGCAUUCUGUGAUUGUCAAAUGAUAGGAAGUCCAUGUCAGUUAUGCAUGAACUGCUAGCUUGUGCUUUUCCACAAGUAGAUCGCAGAGAGGAGUGAAGAUGCAGGAAGAUCACUUCACCUGUUGUGGUAUAGGUUUGAUUCAGGAAGAUCAACAUGUAUGGAUCUGUUAUUGGUCUCAAUCUACAUGAUGCGUUAAUCAAGGAGAUGUGCUGAUUUUGUGAUGGGGGUUGAUAGUACAGUAUAUAUCUUUCGUUUUUCUAAUGGUUGUCUGUUGCCAACUGCAGCGUGCAUACUGUCUAUAGCAGGGGAUAUACUGAUUGUAAUGGAUUUGCAGAUCAUCUAGAUUUAAAAUGUUGUAUGCUUGUUAACUCUUGUGGUUAUUCGAUUAUAUUGAAUUAGUGAUAAUCUGAAACAUGUUACACAGUUUCUUGUUGAUAUCUUCUAUUUUGACCUUUCUGGAAAAGAAUGCAGUGGUGUUCGUAAUUUUCUUGACCUCACGGUAGUCAUUUCUUCUUCUCAGUACGGAUUGAAAUGAUAUCACGAACGUCGAAAGGACAAAAAUAAAUAAAGUAUAUAUAAGAAAUUAAACCUGCUAUUUGACCAAGAACAUCAUUUGUAACUUCAUUAGGUAUGUUUUUCUUAGUGUUUUGUUCCAAAUAGAAUAUAAUGUUCCUGUCUAUUGGCAUAAGAUUGUCCACAUUUAGUGUCGACGAGCACAUUCCGCACCUAUCAUAUUUUUCCAGGAUGCUCCCUUUUUAUGAACACAAGCUAAUAAUUUAUCACACAAAUAUUCCUUCUCUAUCAGCAAGCGGAUAAUUUAUCCAGUGAUAUGUAGCUCCUGUCCACUUAAGCUUGUCAUAUUUUUCCAGGAUCCUCCCUUUUUAUGAACACAAGCUAAUAAUUUAUCACACAAAUAUUCCUCUCUAUCAGCAAGCGGAGAAUUUAUCCAGUGAUAUGUAGCUCCUGUCCACUGAAGCUUGUUUGCUUAUAUAUAUAUUCUAUGGUGUUCGAAGGAUUAAUUUCAAGAAUUAAGAAGCUCCCCUUCUCUUUUUGUGCUACACAACAUUUUCUAACAGGCUGUUCAAAGCGAAAUGUUGCGCAGGGAAGUCCAUGAGAUGUGUAAGCUGUAAAGCUGUUUCCUGCCUCUCGCAUCAUAUCUUAUUACACUUUUCCUUCUUCAGUCUCUUAUAAUGAAGAAAGGGAUUCUAAUUGAUUUACAUACAUGUUUUGAAUAGUUUAUUUCCUACAUGUGGAGUAUAAAGGAAAUAUUCAUGCAUCAAUAUCUAACUUGUUCUUGCAAGGUACUCAAGUGCGCUUCUACAUUAAUGAUGAAAUUUGAUGUAUUCCUAUUGAUGACCAUCGGGAGCAAGAUGCUUUGGCUGGGCACUUCUCUACUCCAGGAUCAUCCUUGACUCCAAGGUCUCUCACUGUCUCUUUCAUUUGAGUAAAUGUUGUAAAGUUACAUUCAUAUGAAAUCUACAUGUUUAACAAUUAUAGAGAACCAUAGAUUAACCAAUUGUGUCACGGAACUGUAUGUUUUAAGACCAUGUUCAUAAAAUUGUAGAUUUAUGGACUGACUGAACUGUAUCACAAUCCACUAACCAACUCUUUGUGACACGCUGUCACAAAACCCAAGUUGGCAUACCGGCAAAAUCACUCAUGUGUACUGUUGUGGUAUACUGGCAAAGUAAUUGAAUUCUGAAUCAGUAGUUCUGUCAAAUUGGUUUAAAAUACUACAUAUUUUAGUGAUAGUUUGUGUGCUUGAUUUGUAGCUUAGUGAAAUCUGUACUCAUUCUACUCCCUCUUUUACUUGAUGAUUGUUUGGGGCCUACCAUGCGCACAUGUCAAGGAAAUACUAAAUCUGAGAAAUGUAAUGAGAACUGUUGAUGCUUACUCUAUUGGUUGCCAUAAUGCAACCAUUUAACCUCCUAAAAGAGUUGAGUAAUGAUAAUGUGAAACAGGUAAUGACUGCACUCUCGAUACUCUAGAUGAAUAGAUAUUUUGAAACAGAAGCUUCCAGUAUUACGAACUAAGAAUGGAAGUAGUGCUCACGUAGUCGCGUGACUACUGGCUCUUUUAUUGUUUGUUGACUGAGAAGAACUGCAAAUAGAUUGCUUCUUAUUUUUCUUUGUCUCUGCUAUUUCUAGUGCCUCUGUUGUUGCUGCUCUAGUGGCAAUGGUGACUGAUUUGAGACUGAGGGGUUAGGGUUUGGAGAUUCACCCUUGACUUUGUAAUGAACCAGCAAUGAGACGAACAAUACUCACAUUCUGGAUUAUCAUAUCCCUGAUGCACCGGAGGACUUUAUGAAGCACAUCGAGAAGACCACAAACAGCGUGGUGACCGAUGUACCAGACUUGGUAAAGCACAUGGAGAAGACCAUGAAUGCCAUGGUCAUUCAUGGUGAAAGGCUGCUGUGGGCAGGCCUACCACGCGGUCGCUGUCGAACUCGGCUUGUUCGCUCGCCAUAACCCUGGGAGUGGACACCCUCGAGGCUCCAGGCCUACAAAUGAUGUUGCUUGCCUAGGCUCAUCGGCAGGCACCACCUCCUCCAUGAGUCUGAACAGACUCUGGGUCUUGGGAUAUCCUACCACCCACUUGAGCAGUGGUGCAACAAUGGCAGUGCCAAGUAAGAGCUGCUGCGCAACAUGCUGUUAGACGGAUGCUUCGUCCUCCAUUGCCUGCUGAAGUAUGUGUGCAUCAACAGAACAGAAGCUGCUGGUUCUACCUCUAGCUAGCAGUGGUAAUUGCGGUAGGGAGGAGAAUGAUGACUAGACCCAGAUGUUCGGGAGGUGCUGGGUGUGGGGGUUUGUCACUUGCGACCUGCUGCUGCUCGAGAACAAAAUUCCUUUAUUCAUUCUUGGAGAAGCUGUUCGAGCAGCUCCAGAUGGAACCCAGCGGAUAGCAGCGGUGUCCGUGUGACUGGUGCUCUGUGCUUCUUCUGUUCCCUCGGUCCUCAGAGGCUGCACUCCUCCGUUGCCUGCCACAAUGUGCACCACCUCCUGCAGUAGAUACCAUGGGCCAGGGAUCUAGGGGAACCUGGCAUUGAGUUCCGGGCAAGGAAUGCUGCUGACACGAAGAGCUUUCUUGAUGUGAGGUUCCACGGGGCGUCCUGGAGGUCCCAACGCAGCUGUGUUACUGCAUAUGCUGUCUAAAUGGACUGCCUUGUUGCCUCGCCGGAGGACAUGAGACUGCUAGAACUUGGUGGCGUACUGGUGAACCAAAUGAGUGGCACCUCUGAGGCGGGCCUGGUGGGGUUCUCUGCCUGCCUCUGCGCGGAAGCUCACCUGGCGGCCAACAACUACUACUUCGCUGGUGUUAUUGGGAAGGUAAACAAGUACCGGCGGUCCAGGUGGCCCUGGUGGCGAGUGGUCCUUGUUCGUAACUACGGCAGCAACCCAUGGAUGGCCACGUCGCUCGCCGUCGUGGCAUUGCUGCUCGUGCUCACUGUGAUCCAGACCUUCUUUUUUGCAUCCUAUUCAUACUUCAAGGCACCCAAGCAAAACUGAUUAUUAUUGGAUCUAUGUGCAUGGAUUUGUCACCAUAAUCAAGUUCUUUUUGCCUA